UACGUAGGGUGCAAGCGUUGUCCGGAAUUAUUGGGCGUAAAGGGCUCGUAGGCGGUCCAUCGCGUCGGGAGUGAAAAGCUGGGGCUCAACCCCAGUCCUGCUUCCGAUACGGGCAUCACUAGAGUUCGGCAGGGGAGACUGGAAUUCCUGGUGUAGCGGUGAAAUGCGCAGAUAUCAGGAGGAACACCGGUGGCGAAGGCGGGUCUCUGGGCCGAUACUGACGCUGAGGAGCGAAAGCAUGGGUAGCGAACAGG
rnacentral:rRNA from 1 species